UCUCGUCAUCGUAUGAACACUAACUUCGUUCCCAAUCCAAGUAAUCAAUUAUAGCUACUAUUAACCUUACACAGUUUGUAGUCAGUUCCCACCCCUCCUUAUCUAUCACGGCGUCGUCGCUAGCGACUCACUUUCAAGCUUAUUGGAUCUCAUCGUUGGGGACCGAAUAGCGUAGGCAUCGUAAGUGUCACGUGCGUCACGUCAGUUAGCGUAUCUGCCCGACGCUCAACUCGGAUGGUGUAGAACUCGACGAUUGAAGAUGAAGGAUUCACGCCUAGCAGAGCCGGACGGAAGAAUUGCCAGGCUGACGGAACAGGGGCUGGACUUAGAAGGAAUAAUUAGGGCCUGAAAGAGCGGAGCUGGACUAAAGGGCUGACUGAAGCGACUUAAAGGAAAAAAUUAAUGCUCGGAGGCAAGGCAGUGAGAAAGGACAACAGUAUUGAUUUUCUGGGGACUAUGAAAACUACGAAAAGCUGUCUUCUUAUG
rnacentral:sRNA from 1 species